CCUGAUGCAGCAACGCCGCGUGAGGGAUGAAGGUCUUCGGAUUGUAAAUCUCUUUUACAGGGGACGAGUAAGGACGGUACCCUGUGAAUAAGCAACGGCUAACUACGUG
rnacentral:rRNA from 1 species